GAUGAACGCUGGCGGCGUGCCUAAUACAUGCAAGUCGAGCGAACAGACGAGGAGCUUGCUCCUCUGACGUUAGCGGCGGACGGGAGAGUAACACGUGGAUAACCUACCUAUAAGACUGGGAUAACUUCGGGAAACCGGCGCUACUACCGGAUAAUAUAUUGAACCGCAUGGUUCAAUAGUGAAAGACGGUUUUGCUGUCACUUAUAGAUGGAUCCGCGCCGCAUUAGCUAGUUGGUAAGGUAACGGCUUACCAAGGCGACGAUGUGUAGCCGACCUGAGAGCGAGGAUCGCCAGCCGGGAAGAGAGACAGAGCCCAGACACCGACGGGAGGCAGCAGUAGGGAAUCUUCCGCAAGGGGCCAGAGCCUGACGGUGCAACGCCGCGUGAGGGAUGAAGGUCUUCGGAUCGGAAAACUCUGUUAGUAGGAAAGAACAAAUGUGUUAGUAACUAUGCACGUCUUGACGGUACCUAAUCAGAAAGCCACGGCUAACUACGUG
rnacentral:rRNA from 1 species